rnacentral:lncRNA from 1 species
UCUAUGUUUAGUUGUAUUAUUAUUUUGACAUAGGCUUUUAGUAAGUUGGACAAGGUGGCAUGAACUUGCCAGCCUACUAGGUCAUCCUCCAGAGUAGCUGUGGUUACACUUCGUGAAACCGGAACCAGUAACGUUAUUGUUUGUAAAAGUUGAAGGACAUAACACAAGGUUGGUCUUCACUGUCGGGCUAUGAUGUGACACUCAGUGGCUCCCCACAGCCCAUCCCCAACUGGAACAAAGAAGCUAAGGCUUGUUCUCACCUGAGCUGGCGCUCUGGGUGACCGAUCUUCACUGCCUUUGUGCGUGUCAAGGCAUGCUUAUCGCUGUGGAUCUUUUCAAUGGUGACGACCCCUACAGUAACAAUCCCUUCACUCUAGUUUUUGUUGUUGUUGUUGUUUAAUCAUCUGUCUUUCUGCAGGCUGGUUUUUCCAUUUUCAUCUGAUGCCAACAGACACACCCAUAAGUCAGCCUGAGGCCUCCUUGUCUUGGUAGCCCGAAGCGUCCCUAGCAACCAAUGGCACCAGGAAGUGACGCCACAAUCUCGCGCUCAGAACCCGUAUCCCCUGGGUGCGGCCUCGUUUUGCCAUUGGUCAGUUGGAAGGAGGAGGAAGGCUUCGGCCAAUGGGAGGCUGCAGGCUCGCGAAACUGGCAGCAGCUGUUGCACCUGCAGCGUGUCUUUCCCCCAGUGAGUUCUACAGAGUUUCGCCCCCACUCGCUCACAUUGAGCACAGAUGUGUGAACAUAGGCGCGGGGUGCCUCUGCUCGCGCCUGGAGGAUCGGGGCCGUUCUGGAGACCAGGACUGGGCUGCGCCGCACGUGCAGGCAACUCCUACCUGUCCACUUUGGUACUCUGGGGGACUUGCUGGGGAGGCGCGGGCAAUUCAAGGAGAGCGAGAGUCAGCGCAUUCCAUGACAGGUGUGUGCGGAGGACCUGAGGACGCCCGGACUCCAUGUGCCCAAGGGCACCGCCCUCCCUCAAGCUGUGCUUUCUCUCUUUCUCGGCAGUUUCGAUUGCUGUCGCAGGUCGGAUUACCCGGUCGGAUUGGCAUCGCAGAUCGGGUUACCCGCUAAGGAUUUUCAGGGCUUGCUUUCUAUGGAAGAAUGAGCCCAGAAUUAUUUCCUUUUCCAAUACUGAGGAUGGAACUCAUGGCCUCACACAUGCCAGGAUGAGCUAGCUACAGCCCUACUACUGCUACAGAAGGAAACAGUGAGUGACACACAAAGAGGCAGC